GACAUAGGAGGCGAGCGUUAUCCGGAAUUAUUAGGCGUAAAGCGCGCGCAGGCGGCCUUUUAAGUCUGAUGUGAAAGCCCCCGGCUCAACCGGGGAGGGCCAUUGGAAACUGGAAGGCUUGAGUACAGAAGAGAAGAGUGGAAUUCCACGUGUAGCGGUGAAAUGCGUAGAGAUGUGGAGGAACACCAGUGGCGAAGGCGACUCUCUGGUCUGUAACUGACGCUGAGGCGCGAAAGCGUGGGGAGCAAACAGG
rnacentral:rRNA from 1 species